rnacentral:rRNA from 1 species
UAAUACGUAGGGGGCAAGCGUUGUCCGGAAUUAUUGGGCGUAAAGCGCGCGCAGGCGGCUCUUUAAGUCUGGUGUUUAAUCCCGAGGCUCAACUUCGGGUCGCACUGGAAACUGGAGAGCUUGAGUGCAGAAGAGGAGAGUGGAAUUCCACGUGUAGCGGUGAAAUGCGUAGAGAUGUGGAGGAACACCAGUGGCGAAGGCGACUCUCUGGGCUGUAACUGACGCUGAGGCGCGAAAGCGUGGGGAGCAAACAGGA